GGUGCGCCUUAUGCAUGCAAGUCGAGCGAAGCUUUUCAGUAGUUUACUACAGAAAAUGACUGAGCGGCGAACGGGUGAGUAACGCGUGAGCAAUCUACCUUAGUUACUGGGAUAGCCCGAGGAAACUCGGAUUAAUACCGGAUAAUCUUAUUACAUCACAUGAUAUUUUAAGUAAAGGUCAGCCGAACUAAGAUGAGCUCGCGUUCUAUCAGCUUGUUGGUGGGGUAAAAGCCUACCAAGGCUACGACGGAUAGCUGGUCUGAGAGGACGAUCAGCCACACUGGGACUGAGACACGGCCCAGACUCCUACGGGAGGCUGCAGCAGGGAAUAUUGCGCAAUGAGCGAAAGCUUGACGCAGCGACACCGCGUGUGGGAUGACGGUUCUAGGAUUGUAAACCACUUUCAGGAGGGAAGAAAAUGACGGUACCUCCACAAGAAGCCCCGGCCAACUACGUGCCAGCAGCCGCGGUAAUACGUAGGGGGCGAGCGUUGUCCGGAUUUAUUGGGCGUAAAGAGCUCGUAGGCGGUUCAACAAGUCGGUCGUGAAAGUUCAGGGCUUAACCCUGAAAUGUCGAUCGAUACUGUUGUGACUAGGAUAUGGUAGAGGUGAGUGGAAUUCCGAGUGUAGCGGUGAAAUGCGUAGAUAUUCGGAGGAACACCAAUAGCGAAGGCAGCUCACUGGACCACUAUCGACGCUGAGGAGCGAAAGCUAGGGGAGCAAACAGGAUUAGAUACCCUGGUAGUCCUAGCUGUAAACGAUGGAUACUAGAUGUAGGAAUUGGAUUGACGAUUUCUGUAUCGUAGCUAACGCGUUAAGUAUCCCGCCUGGGGAGUACGGU
rnacentral:rRNA from 1 species